UGGGGGAUCGUCUAAUGGUAGGACUACGGACUCUGACUCCGUCAGUGGGGGUUCGAAUCCCUCUCCCCCAGCCA
rnacentral:tRNA from 2 species